GAUCUCGUCUGUUGGAUCAGAACCACACGGACCAGCCUUCGCUCCCCACGUGCAUCAAUGAUCCUCGAACGCCCACGACCCUGAUGCCUGGUUCACCGAUGAUCAUUUCCAGGAACAUCCCACAAGAGCUGCAGUUUUGGAGGUGCUCUGACCCAGACGUCUAGACAUCACAAUUUGUCAAACUUGAUCAAAUCCUUACGAUUUUUCUUGCUUCUUUGAGGAUAAAAUGUUCACCUGCUGCCUAAUAAAUAUAUCCACUAACCAACAGGUACCAUGGUGAGGAGAUAAUUAGUAAUUAAAUUAUAGAAAUAAUUGUGCCACUGUUUGUUUUCUCGUCUUUAGAUUUGUUAGUCUGCUUGCUUUUCUGUUAGCAAAGCUAAACUAAAAAUGUCCUGCUGCUGCUAUCUUGUGGUUCCAAGGCCUAUUCUGGGGUAAAAGUCUGUCUGGUGUAAAAGGUUCUCUUCUCUUUUUCAGGUAAUUAUGUUUCCGCUUACUUCUAAAAAGUGGCUUACAGUUCUUUAGGAUGUCCAUGUGGUAUCAGCUACAGGAACACAAAGUCCCUUUUUCUUAAUAACAUCAACACUAAUCUGGAUAGAUUUGAAAACGUUGUUCUCGUCUACAAACCCCUUUGCGUCCACACUGAAGUUUUCAGUUGUUUUCCAGAAGUUGCUCAUCCACACUGAAAUGUGUAAAAACGCUAACGUCCAGGUACUGCACAAAAAGUAACAAAACGUAAGACCAGUCAUCUCCGCCUGCCGUUUAUUUACCUCAGCUUUUUUAAACGUCGCCACAGUGGACUAAAAAAGCAUCAUAGUUUUUUUUACGGUCCACGCUGCAUGUUUUCGUUGACUGAAAACGCCAUCUCGAUGUGGACGGAAGGAGAAAACGGAGAGAAACAUGGGUUUUUACACAAAAACGUAUUAGUGUGAACAUGGCCUUAGUCUCAAGUGCGGAAUCUCUGAAGUAAGGAUAAAUCAGUGGAGAAUAACAGCCAUGACUGGACACUCGAAGCUCUUAAUGAUGACUGGAGUGAGGGCAACAAGGCCGUAUUCAUUAAACAAAUGACUAGUGACUUUCCAGGCAUGGAGAUAAUGGUGGUCAAUAUGAAGUAGAUGAGGACAGCAACCUGUGCCAGUGAGAUGUUAAAGAUGAGCGCAUGAGCAAAGAUAUUUUCAGGACCAGUACGUCUGAAGGUUUUUCCAACUCUCACUGUUUUUCUUGCAUUCACUGCAGCCACGAGUCAGCACCUGGUCAGUAGAGGGCGCUAGAAUUCUCCUCUAUGCUCUUUGUCUUGCAGGCUGUUAAACAGGCAAUGAAAUGCUUGAACCAAUUGUGCAAAAUGGAUUUUACCUUUCUAUGGUCUAAAUAUCUUGACAUAUGCUGUGGAUUAUUGCUUGUAAAAUCUUUUUGUUAUCUCAAGGCAUCGGUUCUCUUGAUGCCAUUGGUUUAUCCUUGUUACUCUGAGAGCCACUCUGUCAGAAUACAAAAGAAUGAUGGUACACCUGGUCUGGAAGAGGUGCAUUUACUUUCACUUGAAAGCCAGUUUGCUGACUGUGCAAUUUGCUCUAACUGCUUGUGGCACCUUUAUUGCUGCGAGUGUUGCUUAGGCAAGGCUCUGGUAUCUGGCCUGUAGGGAUGGUGAAACUCAGGGAUUCACGUGCAUUGGUGCAUUGGCAUUAAAAUGAACAAUGUUGUGCAUUGGAUAAACGUUGGCAUUUGUAUCGUGGUGCAUUAUUUUUUAACAUAUUUGCAUCUGUACAUAAAAGUUUAUUUAUAUAUAAUUAUUAGUAAAUGAAUACAUGAUUUACUGCGA